rnacentral:rRNA from 1 species
UGGCGGCCAUAGCGCGGUGGACCCACCUGAACCCAUGCCGAACUCAGAAGUGAAACGCCGUAGCGCCGAUGGUAGUGUGGGGUUUCCCCAUGCGAGAGUAGGACACUGCCAGGCA